UGGCAUGGACUAUUGUGGAUCUUCAU
rnacentral:piRNA from 1 species